rnacentral:rRNA from 1 species
CCUACGGGAGGCAGCAGUGGGGAAUAUUGCUCAAUGGGCGAAAGCCUGACGCAGCGACGCCGCGUGAGGGAUGAAGGUCUUCGGAUCGUAAACCUCUGUCAGCAGGGGAGCACGGUCACUGUGCUAAUCAGCCGUGAAUUGACGGUACCUGCAAAGGAAGCACCGGCUAACUCCGUGCCAGCAGCCGCGGUCAUACGGAGGGUGCGAGCGUUAAUCGGAAUUACUGGGCGUAAAGCGCUCGUAGGCGGUAUGUCAAGUCAAGGGGGAAAUCGACGCGCUCAACGUGGGAACUGCCUUUGAAACUGGCAAACUGGAGUGGGUGAGAGGAUAGUGGAAUGCCAGGUGUAGGAGUGAAAUCCGUAGAUAUCUGGAGGAACAUCAGUGGCGAAGGCGACUAUCUGGCACAUAACUGACGCUGAGGAGCGAAAGCGUGGGUAGCAAACAGGAUUAGAUACCCCGGUAGUC